rnacentral:rRNA from 1 species
GACGAACGCUGGCGGCGUGCCUAAUACAUGCAAGUCGAACGCUUCUUUUCCACCGGAGCUUGCUCCACCGGAAAAAGAGGAGUGGCGAACGGGUGAGUAACACGUGGGUAACCUGCCCAUCAGAAGGGGAUAACACUUGGAAACAGGUGCUAAUACCGUAUAACAAUCAAAACCGCAUGGUUUUGAUUUGAAAGGCGCUUUCGGGUGUCGCUGAUGGAUGGACCCGCGGUGCAUUAGCUAGUUGGUGGGGUAACGGCCUACCAAGGCGACGAUGCGUAGCCGACCUGAGAGGGUGAUCGGCCACAUUGGGACUGAGACACGGCCCAG